AGCUUUGUGGAGUGGCAGUAUCAUAGCCAAUGAGGUUUAUCUGAGGUGCAAUUAUUGCUAAUUGAAAACACUUUCUACCUCAAAUUUUUGCCAAAGGAUAACUUU
ensembl:snRNA U4 U4 spliceosomal RNA